rnacentral:rRNA from 1 species
GAACGCUGGCGGCGUGCCUAAUACAUGCAAGUCGAGCGGACAGAAGGGAGCUUGCUCCCGGAUGUUAGCGGCGGACGGGUGAGUAACACGUGGGUAACCUGCCUGUAAGACUGGGAUAACUCCGGGAAACCGGAGCUAAUACCGGAUAGUUCCUUGAACCGCAUGGUUCAAGGAUGAAAGACGGUUUCGGCUGUCACUUACAGAUGGACCCGCGGCGCAUUAGCUAGUUGGUGGGGUAAUGGCUCACCAAGGCGACGAUGCGUAGCCGACCUGAGAGGGUGAUCGGCCACACUGGGACUGAGACACGGCCCAGACUCCUACGGGAGGCAGCAGUAGGGAAUCUUCCGCAAUGGACGAAAGUCUGACGGAGCAACGCCGCGUGAGUGAUGAAGGUUUUCGGAUCGUAAAGCUCUGUUGUUAGGGAAGAACAAGUGCGAGAGUAACUGCUCGCACCUUGACGGUACCUAACCAGAAAGCCACGGCUAACUACGUGCCAGCAGCCGCGGUAAUACGUAGGUGGCAAGCGUUGUCCGGAAUUAUUGGGCGUAAAGGGCUCGCAGGCGGUUUCUUAAGUCUGAUGUGAAACCCCCGGCUCAACCGGGGAGGGUCAUUGGAAACUGGGAAACUUGAUGC